AAUAAUAAUACACAAUGUCACGACGAAUUUCCAUCUGCGUGAGGAAAGUGCUUAAGAUUCAUCAUUUUGUCUGUAAAACAGAUCGAAUGCCAUUCGUAACGCAAAAGAAGCUCAAAUUUGCAAGGAAUUCUUAUUACAAUAUAUAAUUCAUUUGGAUCACCAGAAAGAUCUUAGGCCAAGAUGAAUUAAAAUAUUGAAAGAUGAGAAAUUAAUGGAUCAUGAACAUAGUGAUUCUUAAGUUAAUUACUAAAAAUAAGUCACGUAUCGCUCAGAAUAUGGAGAUAUUCGAUUUUCCACCUGAAGAUAUUACUUAUUAUUGACAGCUUUGAUUGUAAUGGAAGAUUUUGUUCAGUA